UACGUAGGGGGCUAGCGUUGUCCGGAUUUAUUGGGCGUAAAGAGCGUGUAGGCGGCCAGGUAGGUCUGGUGUGAAAACUCGAGGCUUAACCUCGAGAUGUCAUCGGAAACCAUCUGGCUAGAGUCCGGAAGAGGAGAGUGGAAUUCCUGGUGUAGCGGUGAAAUGCGCAGAUAUCAGGAGGAACACCCAUGGCGAAAGGCGCUCUCUGGGACGGUACUGACGCUGAGACGCGAAAGCGUGGGGAGCGAACAGG
rnacentral:rRNA from 1 species